AAUACAUGCAAGUCGAACGCGUUGGCCAACUGAUUGAACGUGCUUGCACGGACUUGACGUUGGUUUACCAGCGAGUGGCGGACGGGUGAGUAACACGUAGGUAACCUGCCCCAAAGCGGGGGAUAACAUUUGGAAACAGAUGCUAAUACCGCAUAACAAUUUGAAUCGCAUGAUUCAAAUUUAAAAGAUGGCUUCGGCUAUCACUUUGGGAUGGACCUGCGGCGCAUUAGCUUGUUGGUAGGGUAACGGCCUACCAAGGCUGUGAUGCGUAGCCGAGUUGAGAGACUGAUCGGCCACAAUGGAACUGAGACACGGUCCAUACUCCUACGGGAGGCAGCAGUAGGGAAUCUUCCACAAUGGGCGCAAGCCUGAUGGAGCAACACCGCGUGAGUGAAGAAGGGUUUCGGCUCGUAAAGCUCUGUUGUUAGAGAAGAACGUGCGUGAGAGCAACUGUUCACGCAGUGACGGUAUCUAACCAGAAAGUCACGGCUAACUACGUGCCAGCAGCCGCGGUAAUACGUAGGUGGCAAGCGUUAUCCGGAUUUCUUGGGCGUAAAGCGAGCGCAGGCGGUUUGAUAAGUCUGAUGUGAAGCCUUUGGCUUAACCAAAGAAGUGCAUCGGAAACUGUCAGACUUGAGUGCAGAAGAGGACAGUGGAACUCCAUGUGUAGCGGUGGAAUGCGUAGAUAUAUGGAAGACACCAGUGGCGAAGGCGGCUGUCUGGUCUGCAACU
rnacentral:rRNA from 1 species